rnacentral:snRNA from 1 species
GUGCUCGCUGUGGCAGCACAUAUAAUAAAAUUGGAAUGGUACAGAGAAGAUUAGCAUGGCCCCUGCACAAGGAUGACAUGCAAAUUCAUGAAGUGUUCCAUUAAAAA